rnacentral:rRNA from 1 species
UCCCGAGUGGAAGGACCAUCGCUCACGGAUAAAAGUACGCGGGAUACAGCUGGAUACUGCCCAAGAGUCAUAUCGACGCAGUGUUUGGCACCUCGAUGUCGGCUCAUCUCAUCCUGGGGCUGGAGCAGGUCCCAAGGGUAUGGCUGUCGCCAUUUAAAGAGGUACGUGAGCUGGGUUUAGAACGUCGUGAGACAGUUCGGUCCCUAUCUGCCGUGGGUGUAGGAGACUUGAUGGGAGUUGCCCCUAGUACGAGAGGACCGGGGUGAACGAUCCACUGGUGGAUCUGUUGUUGCGCCAGCAGCAGUGCAGAGUAGCUAUGAUCGGACGGGAUAUCCGCUGAAGGCAUCUAAG